ACUUUAAGCGAGGAGGAGGCUCUUAGAUUAAUACUAGAAGUGGACGUUACUCGCAGAAUAAGCACCGGCUAACUCUGUGCCAGCAGCCGCGGUAAUACAGAGGGUGCGAGCGUUAAUCGGAUUUACUGGGCGUAAAGCGUGCGUAGGCGGCUUUUUAAGUCGGAUGUGAAAUCCCUGAGCUUAACUUAGGAAUUGCAUUCGAUACUGGAAAGCUAGAGUAUGGGAGAGGAUGGUAGAAUUCCAGGUGUAGCGGUGAAAUGCGUAGAGAUCUGGAGGAAUACCGAUGGCGAAGGCAGCCAUCUGGCCUAAUACUGACGCUGAGGUACGAAAGCAUGGGGAGCAAACAGGAUUAGAUACCCUGGUAGUCCAUGCCGUAAACGAUGUCUACUAGCCGUUGGGGCCUUUGAGGCUUUAGUGGCGC
rnacentral:rRNA from 1 species